CACGGGAGCAUCCUGGUGGCGAGUGGCGAACGNNNNNNUAAUGUAUCGGAACGUACCUUUCAGUGGGGGAUAACGUAGCGAAAGUUACGCUAAUACCGCAUAUUCUGUGCGCAGGAAAGCAGGGGAUCGCAAGACCUUGCGCUGAUUGAGCGGCCGAUAUCAGAUUAGCUAGUUGGUGAGGUAAAGGCUCACCAAGGCGACGAUCUGUAGCGGGUCUGAGAGGAUGAUCCGCCACACUGGAACUGAGACACGGUCCAGACUCCUACGGGAGGCAGCAGUGGGGAAUUUUGGACAAUGGGGGCAACCCUGAUCCAGCCAUGCCGCGUGAGUGAAGAAGGCCUUCGGGUUGUAAAGCUCUUUCGGCCGGGAAGAAAUCGCAUGGGUUAAUACCCUGUGCGGAUGACGGUACCGGCAUAAGAAGCACCGGCUAACUACGUGCCAGCAGCCGCGGUAAUACGUAGGGUGCGAGCGUUAAUCGGAAUUACUGGGCGUAAAGCGUGCGCAGGCGGUUUUGUAAGACAGGCGUGAAAUCCCCGGGCUCAACCUGGGAACUGCGCUUGUGACUGCAAGGCUAGAGUAUGGCAGAGGGGGGUGGAAUUCCACGUGUAGCAGUGAAAUGCGUAGAGAUGUGGAGGAACACCAAUGGCGAAGGCAGCCCCCUGGGCCAAUACUGACGCUCAUGCACGAAAGCGUGGGUAGCAAACAGGAUUAGAUACCCUGGUAGUCCACGCCCUAAACGAUGUCAACUAGNNNUUGGGUGGGUAAAACCAUUUAGUACCGGAGCU
rnacentral:rRNA from 1 species